CAUCAGCCCUGGAACUGAGGAUUCUCUUACCUGUAGCUGCUGCCACCAAGAGGAGGAGCCUCCAGGUCCAGUCCAUGCAGAAACCAGAAGUAGCUUCAGACAUCACCAGUGACCCGACAGAAGCAGCAGGAAUCUCAUCUCAUUAAGUAUGGAGAAGGAUCUGGCACCAGGACUCCAGGGCCAUGCUAGUGAUUUCCCCUCCUAUACCCUGAGGACACGGUGCUUCCAACUCUGAGGAUCAGGCUGCUGAAAUUGACAUGUGAGAAGAGAAAGUGGGAUUUUCUGUGGGAAAAGACUGGUGUGAACACAAUUUUCAAGUAAAUAAAUUCAUUAUACAAUGAGACACACUGCCAUCACGUUGACAGUGUGUGGAUUUUGACAUUAACAUUAUUAUUAUCAAUAUUGUUGGGAUGUUCCCUGGAAAAUGAUCAAUUGUUACA